rnacentral:rRNA from 1 species
AGAGUUUGAUUCUGGCUCAGAACGAACGCUGGCAGCGUGGAUUAGGCAUGCAAGUCGAACGUGAAGCCGUUGAACAAUCUUUCGGGAGAGUGAUUCGGUGGAAAGUGGCGGAAGGGUGAGUAACGCGUGGGUGAGCUGUCUCGAAGUUGGGGACAACCAGAUGAAAAUCUGGCUAAUACCGAAUGUGGUCUUCUGGCGCAUGUCAGGAUGACUAAAGGUGGGGAUUCUUCGGAACCUGCCGCUUUGAGAGGUGCCCGCGUGCCAUCAGCUUGUUGGUAGGGUAAUGGCCUACCAAGGCUUACGGCUAGCCGGCCUGAGAGGGUGAUCGGCCACACUGGGACUGAGACACUGCCCAGACUCCUACGGGAGGCUGCAGUCGAGGAUCAUUCGCAAUGCGCGAAAGCGUGACGAUGCGACGCUGCGUGGGGGAUGAAGGCCUUCGGGUCGUAAACUCCUGUCAUGAGGGAACAGUAUCCCUGUAAUUAAUAGUUGCGGGGCUCGAUGGUACCUCAAGAGGAAGCCACGGCUAACUCUGUGCCAGCAGCCGCGGUAAUACAGAGGUGGCGAGCGUUGUUCGGAUUUACUGGGCGUAAAGGGUGCGUAGGUGGUUUUGUGUGUCGGAUGUGAAAUCCCAUGGCUCAACUGUGGAAUUGCAUUCGAAACUGCGGAACUAGAGUGCAGGAUGGGAGAGCGGAAUUCUUGGUGUAGCGGUGAAAUGCGUUGAUAUCAAGAAGAACACCGGUGGCGAAGGCGGCUCUCUGGAAUGCUACUGACACUGAGGCACGAAAGCUGGGGGAGCGAACAGGAUUAGAUACCCUGGUAGUCCCAGCCGUAAACGGUGCACACUUGGUGUGGGGAGAUUUAACCCUCUCCGUGCCGGAGUUAACGCGUUAAGUGUGCCGCCUGGGGAGUACGGCCGCAAGGCUAAAACUCAAAGAAAUUGACGGGGGCCCGCACAAGCGGAGGAGCAUGUGGCUUAAUUCGAUGCAACGCGAAGAACCUUACCAGGGCUUGACAUGGGGACCCUUCGGGGGUGGUAGCGAAAGUUACCUUUACCAUCACAGGUGCUGCAUGGCUGUCGUCAGUUCGUGCCGUGAGGUGUUGGGUUAAGUCCCGUAACGAACGCAACCCUUGUGGCUAGUUGCCACCGGUGGUGAUGAGCCGCCGAGCACUCUAGCCAGACUGCCCGUACAAGCGGGAGGAAGGUGGGGAUGACGUCAAGUCAGUAUGGCCCUUACGUCCUGGGCUGCACACGUGCUACAAUGGUCGGUACAGUGGGAUGCAAUACCGCGAGGUGGAGCAAAUCCCCAAAGCCGCCCUCAGUUCGGAUUGAAGUCUGCAACUCGACUUCAUGAAGUUGGAUUCGCUAGUAACGGCGCAUCAGCUACGGCGCCGUGAAUACGUUCCCGGGCCUUGUACACACCGCCCGUCACAUCAUGAAAGCCGUCUGCACCCGAAGUCGCUGAGCCAACCAUUUAUGGAGGCAGGUGCCGAAGGUGUGGGUGGUGAUUGGGAUGAA